GGGAGAGGCCUCGUUGCUGGGGGGAUCUUCCACGGAAAUGUACAACGGACAACCCCUGUGGUCCGGAAAGAAAAACAAGCACAACAACA
rnacentral:ribozyme from 1 species